ensembl:lncRNA
GUAGAAAUUCAACAACCUGUAUGCCUACAAGGACGCACAAGGACAUUGAGGAUGCUCACCCCCUGCUCAGCCCAUCAAACUAAUUUUCUCUCCAGCACGUCCCAUUUAUUCUGAUGGCAUGUGUCCCGGCCAAGGAAAUGUGGCACGGAAAUAAUUGAAAAAACUGAAGCAAAACUUAAGCAUGGACAAAUAAUAACAAUAAAAACGACACAGGCAUUUUUUCCCCCGGGAGAAAUGUCAGUGAGUUUUCACCUUUCCUGUUAGAAGAUAAGCAAAGUGACAGCAGUGGAAGAGGUGGUAUCACAGGGCGUACAGAAGCACCACAGGAAAUCCCAUCCUGAGAAGACAGGUCCUAAGCCUCAGAGGACUUCACUAUGCAGUAGCUGUGAAAAAGUUGUCUGUCUGACACACACAUCUUCUCUAGUGGGACUUGUGACAGACAGACUGCUGGGGGAAAAUCCCUUUGCCUCAUUUCUCCCCAUUACCCAGUAGGCCCUGCAGGACCGUGCACAGACCUUUUGAGAGGCAUGUGCUGAGACUGAAAAAAUGGGCGGAGUUGUCGGCUCACACGGACGGACAAUGUGUCGGAGUGCGUGACGCAUGACAAAGACGGAUGACAUAUACCCGUGGGAGUGCGUGACACCGGUCACGAAGAUGGACGGGCACAUGCCAACUGGAAAGAACACUAUAUAACAAACGGGUACGUGCUCUGCACAGGUUGAGCCUUAUCUGUGCAUGAGGCCCUGGGAGACUGGAGGAAACACUGGGAUGGAGUUCUGUGAAUGAUACAGUAUAUGGGAAGGAGGUCUGUGAAGAACAUAGUAUAUGGGAAGGAGGUCUGUGUAGUGGUGGUAAAGGCACCUGGUUUUGUCAAAAGUUUCAUUGUAAAAAGGGGUUGAGAAUCCUGAAUCCCGAUUGGCUGAAAAGGUUUAUGCGAUUGUAUACCACAGGUAUGACAUAAUUUAACGUUUUACUCUUGGAAUUGAGUUGGUAUACGGUUUAUAAUGGCAAUCACAGACAUCUAAGUGCUGUACCAAGGAACUCUGUACUACGUGAUACCUGAGAACAGCUACCAGCCUUGAUAAAUUGUUCAUACAAAAUAAAACUGUGCAUUUUUAUUUUUAAAAAC